ensembl:misc_RNA Metazoa_SRP Metazoan signal recognition particle RNA
GCCGGGUGUGGUGGUGCACACCUGUAAUCCCAGCACUUGGGAGGCUGAGGCAGGAGGAUUGCUGUGAGUUCAAGGCCAGCCUGAACUACAUAGCAAGACCCUGCCUCAA